GACGAACGCUGGCGGCGUGCUUAACACAUGCAAGUCGAACGGAAAGGCCCUGCUUGCAGGGUACUCGAGUGGCGAACGGGUGAGUAACACGUGGGUGAUCUGCCCUGCACUUCGGGAUAAGCCUGGGAAACUGGGUCUAAUACCGGAUAGGAGCCAUUUUUAGUGUGAUGGUUGGAAAGUUUUUUCGGUGUAGGAUGAGCUCGCGGCCUAUCAGCUUGUUGGUGGGGUAAUGGCCUACCAAGGCGGCGACGGGUAGCCGGCCUGAGAGGGUGGACGGCCACAUUGGGACUGAGAAACGGCCCAGACUCCUACGGGAGGCAGCAGUGGGGAAUAUUGCACAAUGGGCGCAAGCCUGAUGCAGCGACGCCGCGUGGGGGAUGACGGCCUUCGGGUUGUAAACUCCUUUCGCUAGGGACGAAGCUUUUUGUGACGGUACCUAGAGAAGAAGCACCGGCUAACUACGUG
rnacentral:rRNA from 1 species